rnacentral:lncRNA from 1 species
UAGUUUCUCUCCUAUUUCUCCCUCUCUCUUUUUUCCUUCUUUAUCUCCCACUUUCACAUUUUCAGUUGCUAUCUGCUUUUUCUAUCUUUUUAUAGCAGCCCCUCCUUUUCUUUUCUUUUUUAUCUUUUCCACUGUCCCUUUAUCUACUUUUUAUCUUUCUCUUUCUCCUUUUCUUUUCUUUUUUUUUUUAUCUUUUCCAGUGUCCUUCUAUCUACUUUUUAUCUUUUCUCCCUUUGUUGCUUUUCCAUCUUUUCUAAUCUCAUCUCUUUUAAAUUGUUUUUUAAUAUUUUCU